GCUCUGGGAUAGCUCAGUCAGUAGAGAGCACGAGACUCUUAACCUCAGGGUUGUGGGUUCGAAUCCCACGUUGGGCA